rnacentral:lncRNA from 10 species
CGAUAAAAACAACUUUCACUUCUUCCUAUUGUAAUCGUGUGCCAUGGAUCUGAUCUGUACCAUGACCCUACAUAAGGCUGGAUGGCACCCUCAGGCUGAGGGCCCCAAUGUAUGUGUGGCUGUGGGUGUGGGUGUGGGUGUAUCUGCUGAGUAAGGAACACUAUUCUCAAGAUUCUAAAGCUCAAUUCAAGUGACACAUUAAUGAUAAACUCAGAUCUGAUCAAGAGUCUGGAUUUCUAACAGUCCUUGCUUCGGGCCUACUGAAGUGGCUGGUAGAAAAAGGGGCCUGAGUGAAGGAUUAUCAGUAUCGCGAUUUGCAGGAUUCCCUUCUGGGCUUCAUUCUGGAAACUUUUGUUAGGGCUGCUUUUAAGUGCCCACAUUUGAUGGAGGGUGGAAGUAAUUUGAAUGUAUUUGAUUUAUAUAUAUAUAUAUUUUUAAGGUUAAAAGAUGGUUGUAGCAUUUAAAAUGGAAAAUUUUCUCCUCGGUUUGCUAGUAUCUUGGGUGUAUUCUCUCUAAGUGUAGCUCAAAUAGGUCAUCAUGAAAGGUUAAAAAAGUGAGGUGGCCAUGUUACGCUGGUGGUUAAGGCCAGGGCCUCUCCUACCACUGUGCCACUGACUUGCUAUGUCACCCUGGGCAAGUCACUUAACUAUAAGGUGCCUCAGUUUUCCUUCUGUUAAAAUGGGGAUGAUAAUACUGACCUACCUCAAAGGGCAGUUUUGAGGCGUGACUAAUGCUUUUUAGAAAGCAUUUUGGGAUCCUUCAGCACAGGGAUUCUCAAGACCUGAGUAUUUUUUAUAAUAGCAAUGUCCACCAUCAACUUGAUAUGUCCGUGUGUCCCAGAUGCUGUCAUUAGUCUAUAUGGUUCUCCAAAAAAUUGAAUGAAUCCAUUGGAGAAGCAGUGGAUUAA